AAAACACCUCGUGGGUUACAUAACAGGGGGGGGGUGAAUAUUUUCACGAAACGUUUGUUCGCCAACACAGGCCACAGCAACCUAACUAAGUAAAUUAUAUUUAUUGUAUAUUUGUGAUUAUGAUAAAAACAAUAAAUAUUUGCGUAUUUUUAUCAUCAAUUAUAAAAAUACAAAAAAAUGAUACAUUUAGUUAGGUUGCUGUGGUGGCGAACAAGCGUUUCGUGAAAAUAUUCACCCCCCUGUUAUGUAACCCAAUUCUGACAGGACAACUAUUAUGGGAGGUCUUUUCCUCCCAAAUACAAAUAAUAUUUCCAAUUUUUGGAUUGGGACUAAUCUACCAUGAAGUACUCCUGGAUAAUGUAAUCUAAAUUCAUAUGAAAACGAAGA